AGCAGCCGCGGUAAUUCCAGCUCCAAUAGCGUAUAUUAAAGUUGUUGCAGUUAAAAAGCUCGUAGUUGAAUUUCGAGAUCAAAUUGUUGGUCGUGCCUCGGUACGUACUGGCAUUAUUGAUUUCUCCUUUCUGAAGAACCUUGAUGUCAUUAAUUUGGUGUCUUGGGGAAUCAGGACCGUUACUUUGAAAAAAUUAGAGUGUUUAAAGCAGGCUCACGCUUGAAUACAUUAGCAUGGAAUAAUGAAAUAGGACGUUUGAUUCUAUUUUGUUGGUUUCUAGGAUCGACGUAAUGAUUAAUAGGGAUAGUUGGGGGCAUUAGUAUUCAAUUGUCAGAGGUGAAAUUCUUGGAUUUAUUGAAGACUAACUACUGCGAAAGCAUUUGCCAAGGAUGUUUUCAUUAAUCAAGAACGAAAGUUAGGGGAUCGAAGACGAUCAGAUACCGUCGUAGUCUUAACCAUAAACUAUGACCGACUAGGGAUCGGA
rnacentral:rRNA from 1 species